GCGUCUUGGUGCUUCCUUGUUGGAAGAAAAGGGAAUCCGGUGAAAUUCCGGGGCUGUCCCCGCAGCUGUAAAGUCGUUUCCUGCCUCGAAGGUGGGCAGAUCUUUUCGGUAAAACCACUGGAUCGAAUCUGGGAAGGAGAAAAGAUGACAAGCCAGAAAACCUGCCGGACGAC
rnacentral:ncRNA from 1 species